rnacentral:tRNA from 1 species
GCAGCGAUGGUCUAGUGGUCAAGACGCUACACCCAAAUGUCUUGCAAACACAAGCAUGUAAGGUGUGAAUUUUCUUCUGGCGAUCAUUCGCUGAGGGAUCCAGAGUACUGGGCUGAUCACUGGAGUUGUAGAAACGUGAGUUCGAAUCUCACUCGCUGCA